rnacentral:rRNA from 1 species
AUUGAACGCUGGCGGCAGGCCUAACACAUGCAAGUCGAACGAGUAGCGGACGGGUGAGUAAUGUCUGGGAAACUGCCCGAUGGAGGGGGAUAACUACUGGACACGGUAGCUAAUACCGCAUACCAUCGGAUGUGCCCAGAUGGGAUUAGCUAGUAGGUGGGGUAACGGCUCACCUAGGCGACGAUCCCUAGCUGGUCUGAGAGGAGGACCAGCCACCAUGGAACUGAGACACGGUCCAGACUACUACGGGAGGGAGCAGUGGGGAAUAGGGCACAAUGGGCGCAAGCCUGAUGCAGCCAUGCCGCGUGUAUGAAGAGGGCCGUCGGGUUGUAAAGUACUUUCAGCGAGGAGGCGUUACUCGCAGAAGAAGCACCGGCUAACUCCGUGCCAGCCGCCGCGGUAAUUC